rnacentral:rRNA from 1 species
GAUGAACGCUGGCGGCGUGCCUAAUACAUGCAAGUCGAGCGAGCAGACGAGGAGCUUGCUCCUCUGACGUUAGCGGCGGACGGGUGAGUAACACGUGGAUAACAUACCUAUAAGACUGGGAUAACUUCGGGAGACCGGAGGUAAUACCGGAUAAGAUAUUUAAGCGCAUGGUUCAAUAGUGAGAGACGGUUUUGCUGUGACUUAUAGAUGGAUCCGCGCCGCAUGAUCUAGUAUGUAAUGUAACGGCUUAACAAGGCAACCAUGGGUAGGCGCCCUGAGAGGGUGUGCGGCCAUACUGGAACUGAGACGGGCUCCAGACUCCUACGGGCGGCAGCAGUAGGGAAUAGUCCGCGAUAGGCCACAGCGUGCCGGAGCAACGCGGCGCGAGUGAUGAUGGUCUUCGGAUCGUAACACGCUGUUAUCAGCGAAUACCCAGUGUGUAAGUUACUAUGCACUUCUUGACGGUUCCUGGUCAGAUAGCCCCGGCUAACUACGUG